rnacentral:rRNA from 1 species
ACACGACUACAUUAGAUACCCGUGUAGUCCCAGCCCUAAACGAUGCGCGUUAGGCGUAUCGGUGACCACGAGUCACCGAGGUGCCGAAGGGAAACCGUGAAACGUGCCGCCUGGGAAGUACGGUCGCAAGGCUGAAACUUAAAGGAAUUGGCGGGGAGCACCACAACGGGUGGAGCCUGCGGUUUAAUUGGACUCAACGCCGGGAAGCUCACCGGAUAAGACAGCGGAAUGAUUGCCGGGCUGAAGACCCUGCAUGACCAGCUG